rnacentral:rRNA from 1 species
UACGUAGGGUGCGAGCGUUGUCCGGAAUUAUUGGGCGUAAAGGGCUCGUAGGCGGUUUGUCGCGUCGGGAGUGAAAUCCACUGGCUUAACUGGUGGCUUGCUUUCGAUACGGGCAGACUGGAGGUAUGCAGGGGAGAACGGAAUUCCUGGUGUAGCGGUGAAAUGCGCAGAUAUCGGGAAGAACACCCGUGGCUAAGGCGGCUCUCUAGUACGGUACUGACGCUGAGACGCGAAAGCGUGGGGAGCGAACAGG